rnacentral:lncRNA from 1 species
CGGCGAGCUCCGAGCUCCCGACGGCCAGGCCCGAGCUGCGCCGGACUGGGCCGGGGUGGGCUCGCAGGGACGAGGUUCGGGGACGGGACCCAGUUCCGUGGCGGGCUGCUUUCCUUCCUCAGAGGCCGCGAGGUCAUGGCGGCGGCUCGAGUUCCCUGCUUCCAGUGUGGGUUGGUCAGUUCCUCCACAGCGCUUUUAAACGCCGUGAGACGGUCCCACUCUGCCAGCUGCUCUGUGGCAAGCUGCCCAGCGUUUCACCCGUGUGUUCCCUGCCGCCCGCGCUCGGCGCGGCCUCGACUCAGCCUCCCCGAGGAGGUCCCCUCGGACCGUCGUGGCCCUGGCGUUUGCCAUGCGAGGACAUCGCGUUGCGCUCCUGAGCCGAAACCUGUGCGCGCUCGGCGGCUGAGGCCUUUGGUGCCGCAGGAGGCAGAAACCGGAGCCCCGUGCCCGGCCCCGCAGGGACCGGAAAGGCGAGCAGCCUGCGCUGCCCUCUCCGCCCGCUCGGAACCAGGGUCCCUAGGGUUCGGUCGCUCAGGUUCUGCCCUGAACCAGGCACAGGUCCAUCGGAUCAUUUCCACUUACGAAGUAAACGAUUUGGUUUUUUAAAACUUCAUUUUAAACAUUAGGUAUUUUAAAUCAUCACAAAAUGAAGUUGGAAGACUAAGUUACUGGAGUCAACUUAGAUAACUUGAUACAUUACAUAUUAUCAAUGACAUUUUAAAAACAAAACUGAUUUUUGACUUCGGAAAACCAAGUAAUAAUUGUCAUUUCUAGUUAGAGACUGAAGCAAAUUGUGAAAAAUCAUGUAAAUACCUAGGCUACUUUCUCAAACUACUGUUGUUUUUCUCUUUUUUAAAGACUGCUAAAAAUCGUGAGAUUUGGAAGUAGAAGAUGUUCAGGUUAUGUUUUCAGAAAGAUGCUUGUCAAUCACAGUCAACAAGCUGUGGGUUUCCUGAAUGGAAGUAAAAGCCGCGCAGAGUUAAAAGUCGUCCCAUGUCUUGGGACUGUGCUUCUGGUGGCAGUGCCUCCCCUCUGUGGAUGAAACAUGCCGCGUUGGAUGCAUUCCCGUGAAGCAGGCAUUGUCUCUGCUCCCCGGAGGAUCCUAGCUCUCUGAAAGAGCUCUUUCAGGAAACACCUAGGUUCAACUUCAUGCAGCAGGAGCUCCAGUUGGAUUCACUUGGUACUUCAGUAUGCUGGAAACGAGAAAGCUUCAUUUAUAAUGUAAAGGUACCUAAGAGCCAUCUGACACUUCUAUUCAUGUCAGUAAGAAUGGUUUCUGUCCACACGGGCGUAGAGUCUGCCCGACAGGAUACACUGAUGAUGUCCAUUUCAACAUUAGCAUACGUGGACAUUUGCAGCACUUCCUGUUUUCUUAAUUUUUAACUUUCAAUUUUAAACUUUUAUUAACAAAAGGGGAACUGUACUGGAACGGAUGGAGCCAAAUGUACCACUGUGUGCAGCUUUGGUAAAGGAAUUUAAAGGAGGUAAAAUAUGUGCGCUUCAUUGUCUCGGUGGCAGAAAGAAGUGAGUCAGGACCUGGUACAAGGAUGUUGCAAGCCCUUCAUUUACUGACUUCUUGCCUCUGUCAGCUGCGGCUCAAAGCACUUCCUGUGUUGACUGAUUUGGCCUGGUGACAGUGGUGUGGGGCAGGUGCUGUGCAGCUGAGAAAAUAGGAGGUUAAGCACUUCCCCAAACUCACCAAGACAGCCUGUUCUCCACACCCCACACCAUCUAGCACCAGACUUCCCAGGGCAGGCAUGAAACAUGUGGGGACCUGCUCAGUGCACCCCAGACCUGCAGAGCCUGAACCUCUGAGCCAGCCCAGCCUGAGUUUUACUAAAGCCACUCAGACUAGAGUUUGAGAAUCCCUGGCAAAAAGGAAGGUGAAGGCUCCAGAUGUGGCGGCCAAGCUGAAGAGACCAUCAGAGAGGCUGAAGGAGAAGCAGGAUGAACAGCAGAAUUACCAGGUUCUGACUCUGACGGUGGCCAGUCUGUGUCUCUUCUUCAUGGUGCUUGCCACACAGUAAGUGACUAUUUGUUCAGUUCAUUGAUUUGUUGAUUCCCUGAUUGAUUGACUAGGUGGAGAGAAUGGGGGAGGUGAUUCUCGGAUUAUUCAGAGACCCGACACAAAGGGAACCCAUGGAGACCAGCUAGCUAGAGUGACGACCCUAAUCAGAAGCACCAUGAGAAUGGUACUAACAUUCUUCUGCUGGCAGGAGAUUCUCUUGCUUUGCUGAGACGCAUAGUGAUGAAGGAAGAGACAUCACAGCCCUUUCCUGGGGUGCAGAGUCCCGUCUCAUCCGCAGAGCAGGGACAGCACAAGUGCUGAUCCCAGAAGUGACUGAGGGUGAAUGCAGCCACUCACGGUGGGACUCAGCACGACGUCAUUCUGUCUCAAGUUCGUUAGGUCAACAUUUUUAAUCGGUGCAAAUAGAUAAAUAGCACAUGUUCACAGAGGUUUUAUGCGUUUGGUUUUUUAUCUGAUUCCAUGGACUCCUCCUGUAGCACACGUUUAAACAUCAGCCUGGAUCUCUUCCGUCUUCUUGCCCCUGAGUUCGUCUUUGCUUUGCAGUUCUGGCCGGAACCAGAACCUGGGGCUGUUAGGCUAGCGCUGGCCACUGAGCUACCCUGCCAGGCCUCAUGUAUUAAUCUGAAAACUUCAAGGUCCUUUCACUGAUCAAGAAAUAAUGACUGUACUUUUAAUAUUUGAUUAAUAACUUUGAAAAUUAGCCUAAAAUUUGUGUUUAGUUAUGUUGGGAGUCCUGAAGGGAAAAGUUCUAGCUGUACAGCAGGACCAGGGGGGGUUGAGCAGUUCCUUGGGGUACUCGGGCUCAGCUCCUUCUGCCCCUUCUCUGCUAAUGACCACCCUCUCCACCCUCCAGCCUUGCAGAUUUCCUGACCUCCAGACAGCCCUCUCUUUCCCUUGCCUGGACCCUGUGUUUUUUCUGGAAGCAUCAUCUCCAGCAGAAUCUCCCAGGGCAAUGCUUCCCACCCAUCACCAGGCACAUGCAGGACAGGGAGGACAUUUUUAUGCCUCUGUGUAUCCAUCAUCAAAUGAUUCCUUGAUUAUGAAACUGUCCUAUGUGCUCCUAAAAUGCAGGCUGUGGUGAGCCGUUCCCCCAUGGCCUGGGUACCCAGCUCCCAGAGGCUGGAUCGGCUCAAGGCAUCGGAGCCUGCCCUGCCUCUCCCUUGGGUGCCUCCCUCUGUGACUUUGACCCUGGGAUGCUCCUGGGCUCUGCAGGGUACAUAAGCCUGCCUUUCAAGGACUCAGACCAUUCCCUUCAGGGAGCAAGGGAAGGGUUGCUGCCAUCUCUGUGCUGUUUGUAAUGAGCACCCAGUGCAAUCCAAUCUGUUUAAAACAUGUGGAGAUGGUUACAUAAAAUGUUUGAGAUGAAUACUUAAAGUCAGGUUCAUAUAAUUACUCUUCAUUUAUAUCUCUUCAUUUCACUUGCACAAG